CAAUAGCGUAUAUUAAAGUUGUUGCAGUUAAAAAGCUCGUAGUUGGAUUUCUGGGAGGGUGCCGCCGUCCGGCGUGUCCGUGUGCAGUGGCGCCCUUCCAUCCUUCUGUUUGCGUCUCUUGGCAUUCAUUUGCUGGUGGCGGGCUCAGAUAUUUUACCUUGAGAAAAUUAGAGUGUUUCAGGCAGGCUAGGCCGGAAUACAUUAGCAUGGAAUAAUGGAAUAGGACUACGGUCUCUUUGUUGGUUUGAGGGACUGCAGUAAUGAUUAAUAGGGAUAGUUGGGGGCAUUAGUAUUUAAUUGUCAGAGGUGGAAUUCUCAGAUUUGUUAAAGACUAACUUAUGCGAAAGCAUUUGCCAAGGAUGUUUUCAUUAA
rnacentral:rRNA from 1 species